UGGGGAAUAUUUCACCAUGGGCGCAAGCCUGAUGCAGCCAUGCCGCGUGUGUGAAGAAGGCCUUCGGGUUGUAAAGCACUUUCAGCGGGGAGGAAGGCGUUAAGGUUAAUAACCUUGGCGAUUGACGUUACCCGCAGAAGAAGCACCGGCUAACUCCGUGCCAGCAGCCGCGGUAAUACGGAGGGUGCAAGCGUUAAUCGGAAUUACUGGGCGUAAAGCGCACGCAGGCGGUCUGUCAAGUCGGAUGUGAAAUCCCCGGGCUCAACCUGGGAACUGCAUUCGAAACUGGCAGGCUAGAGUCGUGUAGAGGGGGGUAGAAUUCCAGGUGUAGCGGUGAAAUGCGUGGAGAUCUGGGGGAAUACCGGUGGCGAAGGCGGCCCCCUGGACAAAGACUGACGCUCAGGUGCGAAAGCGGGGGAAGCAAACAGG
rnacentral:rRNA from 1 species